ensembl:lncRNA
UAUAUUUGUGAAUGUAUGUUAAAAUUUUAUUUGUUAAAAAAAGCUCAAUAAAAUCGAUGCAUUUAUAGCUGAAUUUGUAGCGAUGUGGCAUGAUUUCCUCUAUCACUGACCUCGCGCGUUGCAACAUUACAGAAAGAAAAAAAAAUAGUUUGCAUUAAAAAAAAAUGGUUAGUGGAAGCAACGCCAAGCGUUGGUUUCUUUCCUAGAAUAAAACGUCAGUUUCGGAUAAGUUGGUCCGCUCGCUCAGCGCACCUGCACAGGUGAACGCAAAGGUAAGAGGAAAAACACACACCUUUGUGUUUGACUUUAACUAAGAGCAUCCUGAAUCCAGCAGCAUGAAAGCGGCUUUAUUUCGCAUUAGGACUAUUUUAAAGAUCCCGUGAAGGUUAAAGAGUGUGUCUUACCUUGUGGUCUCUGCUGCAGGAGUGUGUGUUGUGUGUGUUAUAGUGUCUGGGUCCAGAAUAAAGCCUGAGAAACAGAGGCGCGUUAUUCCUGACUGAUCCUCUCACACACUCCAGGACUCAAACCUGCGCUCGGACUGACGCGCUCACACGCCUCGAAUGACACUGUUUUCCUCCUUUCUUUUCGAGAGAGAGAGAGAAACACACGCCACCUAUCAGCACAGGGAGGGAUAAUAGAGCCAAACGUGUGUGUGUUUUAUGAGCGCGCGCGCGCACACCCACACACACACACACACACACACACACACACAGAGAGAGAGAAAGAGCAUCAGGCACCUUUAUAGCGAAGACAUGAAUAACGUUUGAAGAAAGUUCAGGAACGGUUACGCUCCCUCUCUUCAGCGCAGGCGACAAACACGAUUGUAGGAGAAAUAAAGGAGGGUGCGAUCAUAAAGACGAAUCUGAUGAGGAGAAGCGCUGAAUCUGAGGAGGGAAAGUGUUCUGUCGGAGGAGGCGCGGGAAGCGCGCGCGCUCCUGUGACAGUAUUUGUAAGGAUAAUGAAGACAUCAGUCCACGCGCAUCUGCACUGAUUGAUGCUUUUGUUCAGCAUCAGACUCCUGCGAUCUGUAACCAUUCAGUCUGAAUCAUCCGGAGCUGCUUGGAUCCCUGUAGGGAUUCGGCCCUCUUGUGGAAGUGCGCCAGAUCAGAGACGCCGCGUGUUUGUGUACGUGUGUGAGAGGUGUAAGACAAGAAAAGACUCACGUGCGGGAGAAGCCGCGUUGAGGUCAGAGGUCGGCAGAUUUCAUCAUCCCCGACACGCACACCUGUGGAACUCCAGGUUGGUUACUGAUGAACAAGAUCCUCGACACACUCUCAUCAUGUCAGCAGAUCAGCGGGCAGAUGUAUCGGUGCAUUCGGCCGGCUCAGGUUUUCAUCAGGUAAGCAGAUGUCAGAUGAAACCUGAAACAUGUUUGGAAGAAACAGCUGAUCUUUCUUUAAAUAGACAGCUGAAUCUCAUGAAAUCUGUCAAGAACACGUCCGGCUCAUAUUUCACACCAAAAUCAAAAGAAAACAUUUUCUCGGACAAUUUAUUUAUUUAUUUCUGCAUUAUGAUGUUGUUUUCAUGA